UACAGAGGGUGCAAGCGUUGUUCGGAAUUCUUGGGCGUAAAGCGCGUGUAGGCGGCUUUGCAAGUCGGGUGUGAAAGCCCUCAGCUCAACUGAGGAAGUGCGCCCGAAACUGCAGAGCUUGAGUGCCGGAGAGGGUGGCGGAAUUCCCCAAGUAGAGGUGAAAUUCGUAGAUAUGGGGAGGAACACCGGUGGCGAAGGCGGCCACCUGGACGGUAACUGACGCGGAGACGCGAAAGCGUGGGGAGCAAACAGG
rnacentral:rRNA from 1 species